CCAUGAUGUAUUGUUGGCAUUAUUAUCCCCAGUUUAAAGAUGAGCCAAUGCCUAAGGUCACACAACUAGGAAGUGGCAGAGCUGUGAUCCACAUUAGGUCUUUGUGUCUAAAAGCCCACGUGUGCUCUAAACUACUUGGCCAUUCAUUUCUGUGACAGACUGAAAUAGGUAGUUCUUCCAGGCUACCCCAAUCAUCCACGAACCUCUUCUCAACUGGUAGAGCAAAUGUUUAGUAAGCAUAUGCCGAGACAAAAAUAAUAGGUGAGCCUGCAGCAAAAUUGUGGAAGAUAGCAGAUGGAUACAUGGAAAGGAACUUAGCAGAGCCAGUCCCAGCCUUGCUCUGUACACUUGCCCUGCUUGCCCCAACUGCACAUCGGCAGCUGAGUGCCGAGAGGAACACACCUGGCAGCUGGAUUGCUGUCCCAUACCUUUCCGGCCACACAUGAACACUUCUCCAUUCUUUACACUCAGGGGUUGGUCAGCUUUUUCUGUAAAGGCCCAGAGAGUCAGUAUUUUAGGUCUUGGACACCAAGAGGCAGCAUUGAGGAUAUUCUGUAAGUACUUAAAAGAGAGGAGUGUCCAUAUUAUUUUUUAAUUGACAAAAUUUGAAAUAAUUGAGUACAACUUUUCUUAAUGGAGUCUAUUAAUGAGAGGGAUAGAAUGCUUUUUAGGGGACUGUUUCACUUAAUUGGAGUUCAAAGUAAGUAGUUGGCUAUGAUCAAAAUUGAUUGCAAAUGUUCAUCUGUUAGGUUUUAAUGUAUUUCAUCUUUGAAAAUGUCUUUUCAGGCCGGGCGCGGUGGCUGACGCCUGUAAUCCCUGCAUUUUGGGAGGCCGAGGUGGGCAGAUCACGAGGUCAGAGCUAGACUCCGUCUCAAAAAAAAAAAAAAAAGGUCUUUUCAAGCAGUAGAUACUGCCAAACACUGAUAUCAGUCCAUGUGCGUAUGAUUUUAGUCAAACAUAUUCAUCACUUAGAAAGCAUUUGUACAAUUCUACUAGAUUGUUCUCUUGAUACUUACCUUUCAGCAUGUUACUGUGUUGCAGAUUAAUCACAUUCAGUUAAAGGUUAGAUGUGAUCUCCUCAGUUUCACAAUUAAAUGGAUUUUGUAGUACAGAAAUUGCCUUCACACUUGCAUUGAGCUCUGAAAAACACUGCUGGAACUCUAGUUUGAGACUGGCAGUGUGUCUGCUCUCAAUGUGUGGGGAUGGGAAUGCCAUUGCUUGUAACUUUUGACAGCAUGAGAACUGCAUAAGCAGCUUGAUGUUACUUGUGAUUCAAGCAACAUUAGUUGUCAUUAUUCACUGAACCUUACUGCAGUAUGUUUUGCAUUUAAGCACUGUUUUGCCUUGUAAUUUUAGGGUGAAUUCAUCAAGAAACAUUAUCAAGCUUGCAACAAAAUAACUUCCAAAGCUAUUCAGUGUUGAAUAGUAGUGGUUGAGUGUGGUUUAUCUCAUUCAGAACAAUUGCAGUCUUUGCCCUGAGCUCAAAACAUCACAAUAAAAUUUGAUUGCUGCU
rnacentral:lncRNA from 1 species